GUCAUAACAGAUGACAUGAAACAAGUUCAAUACCAUGGCUUGAUAGUGUUUUUUAAACAAUAUUAUGUAAAACAAGAAGUUAUUAGUAAGAGGUUAAUCUAAGUUAUAUGAUUGGAACAAGUAUAACAUUAAGUGGGUUCUUUAGGUUAAUUUAUGUAAUAAUAGGCGUGUAUUUACAAAGGUUAUCAGACGUUGGUGCGAUUAACAGUAAAUGAGUCUUAGUGCAGUCUUUCUUGUGUGUUUAAGGACAAGGAAAACAUUCUAUGCAUCACGAUGGAAACAGAUGGUUUUAAUUUUGGUGGUUCCAUGGAAACUAAAGGACAAUGCCAGUAGUCCACAAUUGACAGGAUGGAUCAAGGUGGUUUUAAUUUAGGUGAUUCCAUGGAAACUAAAGGACAAUGCCAGUAGUCCACAAUUGACAGGAUGGAUCAAGGUGGUUUUAAUUUAGGUGAUUCCAUGGAAACUAAAGGACAAUGCCAGUAGUACACAAUUGACAGGAUGGAUCAAGGUGGUUUUAAUUAGGUGAUUCCAUGGAAACUAAAGGACAAUGCCAGUAGUCCACAAUUGCAACGCAGUCUAUUUAUAGAGACACAGGAUGAGGCCACCAUGGCUUAACUGAAGAUGCCAGCCAGAUAGAAACAGAAAACGUUUUCGUCGGGUGAUACAACAUCUGCAACGCAAAAGCCUAGACGUGCUGUAAUUCGAAGACGUUUUAUCACCAGAGUGCAUAGGAAGAUGCAUAAAGAUACCAUUGGACAGUCAAAUCUAUUUCAGAAUAAAAAAGAUGCUGGUGUGAAAGACAAAAAUGAAACCCGGCAAGAAUCAUACAUUUCAAAGAGUAUUUUGUUGUCGACGGAACUAGCACAUAUUGGUUACAACGACAUAAACAGAAAAACAGCGAAAGAGUUUAAUACAACACUAUAUGACUGCAGAAACAUACUUGAAAAGGCCCAGAAUAAAGGAACUCCAAGGUGCUAAAUAAGCGUCGGAAGCCAGAUAGAACGCACUAACCUGACUGACUCGGACGAUGAUGUCCUAUUUGGACCAUCCGCUGAAUAUGUUGUUGCCAUUAACAACAUCAAAGAUGUCUUUGAUAAUCGAAUAAAUAUACUGAUGGUCAAACAUGAAACCUCGCCUCCUGCCCAUGUAUGGAUGAAAUUGUUAGGUACAUACAAGUGUGUCCGUUCAAUAGACGACAUGCUUCAAUUAGAAGGUAAAUACAGAUUCCGUAUUCAAUUUCACCUCUUCAGUCAAUGUUACAAACAGUGGGAAGAAAUCUCGGAUGUAGGCAACCACUUGCUGUGUACAUGGCCGGAUACUCUCUUAAUAGACGAAAAUGAUAUGCAGUUCUAUAUACCGAACAGUCUUUAUACAUUGAUAGGAAGACAGAUGUGGGCGAGUAAGGCAUCUAGAACGGGGCCCUCUUUCUCAAGCAACCGUUCCGACGUUGUCCGUCCAAUAUUUUGCGACAAUGUCUACCCUAGGGAUCAAGAUCCAUUUACUUUCGGAGGGAACCUCUUCGGCAAUCUCCAUGUACCAAAGGAAUAUCUUGCAAUUUAGUCCCUUUUUUUUGGAAUGGCGAAUUUCGUACAAUCUGACGGAAAGAGAAAUCAUGUUUAGAUUUUAUAUCACAUAUAUUCAAACAUACGUUGUGCUGAAGAUGUAACAGAGAUCCUAUUUCAAACACUUAGUCGGGGAAGGUUUUACAAGUUUUCUGCUCUGUUUUACGCGGUAGCUACUACUGAGAAAACCAUUUGUGUAAAGAGUAAUUUGAUAAACUGUGUUCGACAAUGUCUGAACAUGAUUCGCUUAAUCGCAAAGACAAAAUUCUGUCCACAUUUCUUCAACAAAUCGUUUAACCUUUUCAGUGGAAAACUUCCACGAUGUGGAAAACAUUGGGAAAUGUUGAUAGAACUUGCUGAUUGGUUGAGCCAAAAUACAAACACGUAUUUUACACAAGUAAAAACAGAAAAAAUAAGCAUUUACAAAUUGAAAAUCUUUCAAACGGAGGUACUGAUUUCGUUUUGAAUUGCAUAUGUCUUGUUGAACAAGUAAACAAAGGUGUUUUGUUUUGUUAUCUUACACCUGGUAAUCUUGGGGACCUUGCUCCACACGUAAGACCAGAUGCUAUUCGAAGUAUGUGCGCUAAAUACAAGACUCUUCAGAGGAAAAUAAAAGAGGUGAUCGACGUGUCGCAAGCAGGUCAUCAGAAGGAAUGCGUUAAUGUCGUGCUCUCGUUUGUGAAAGUAGGACACCACUUGCUUUCAGCAUCAUACUUGCCAGAACAAGGAAAACAAAUGGAUCACCUUUAACUGAUAAUGUAUUACCUGACGCUUUGUCCAUGGAAUUACAAGUGUCCUCCCUUAUGUUUGCAAAUGGCAAAUAUGAAAUGGCUCGAACUCUCUUGGAACGCGCUUUUCUGAAAAUAAUCAGUGAUCCCAUUAUCUUUGUGACUCGUCAUGACCAUGUUAAGUUUGUAUCAUAUAAUGACUACUUGGAAUUUAUCAAUCGAUACAGCGGACCAUAUCCGAUCACUCAAAUACUCGCAUGUACAUUUAUAAAGCGGCAUGUAGCUCUUGAAGUUAUGUUUCACGUGCAUGAACUAUGCCUUUUGCAUCCACUUUUGCGGUUUGAAGCAUAUCGGUUUUUGUUCGAGGAUAGGAGAGACAUGUGUAGCGUUGAUGACAAGUGGGCGUGUGUUGCUUGUUUUGAUUCCAUUCCAUUUCUGUUUUUCAUGCAAUACCUUGUCUACAAAGAGUUAAGACUUGAGGAACAGAAACACGAGGCUCUCGUGCGUUUGGAAGUGUGCAUUGACUAUUCCUCCAUGUCAGAGCGGCAAAUUGCAAUGAACAUGUUCGGUAUCUGCUGCGAGCUGGAAUGGAAUUAUAUCGAAGCAGUUCGUUACUACGCAAAAUCAUUAAGAAUGCAGCCUCGAUUUAACGCUGCAAAAUUCCAUAUUGCACUCGUAGUAUGGCGAAUGUGGGUCAAGCACAAUAUAGAGUUAUUGCAAGCCAAUGACUGUGAUCGCAGGAUAGUGGAUGAUGUAUCCGGGAUGAGGGGGGCUGGGGAGGUAUAACACACUCGUAAUGUGUUCAGUUAAACGCAGUCAUAUCCAUGCUGUUGCUAGGGAUAUCAUAUAGCUAACUAUAACAAAACGAAGGUAAAAAAUACACAUACAUGUAUUUAUGAAAUGAAUAACGAUGCUGGUGUAAACGAUGGAAGGCGGUGUAAAGAUAAUGACUUAAAAUAACAAUGGUGUUAUUAGCGAUAAAUUGGUAAAAAGGAAAUGACUUGAAUUAAUAAAAAUGCUGUUGUUAGCGAUGGAAGAACAGAAAUUGCUAAACAAAUAAUCAUGGCGUUCUUUGCUAAGAAUUACUAAGAACAGGAAUAUCGUAUAUUUUUACAGCCACACGAAAUCUAGCAACACACGAUUGACAUUCCGAAAUAUAUAGAGUUUCAAAAUAUCGAAGAAACGGUAUGUAUAUAUCGAAACAUGAACGUUAGAAGAGUUUGAACGUUUGCUAUGUUUUUAUUUACAUAAUUUUGAAAUGUAUGCUUUUUGUCUUUUUUUGUUAAGCGUAAAUGUGCUUUUUGUGAUUUUUCGACAAAAACAAUUCUAGUUUGUGGUCUGAAUGCAAACUGUUUCCAUUAAAAUGAUAUAAAGUUAUUUAAUUUGCAUGCAUAAUGUUAUGAGCAUAUGUAUACUGUAUAUCAUGUUGAAACUCUGAACAAAGUAAAUACCCACUUGAAUGCUGUUAAACUUAAUAUAACAAACAAAAGGCAUAUAUGCUAAUGGAAGCUAUCAUUAAGAAAAAGUGUGUCAAUUGCGAGGUUGAUUACUCAUAAUGCUUUAGAAUGCAACUCUGGCUGUAUGAGCAAUGUAAUCCGUAAUAUUUGUGGGCCGGGUGACAAUUAUCAGCUUAUUAAGGGUGUAAUUCAGUAUUCGGGGUCAUUGUUGUGCGAAAAUUGUUCAGGGGACUGUCCACGUUGCUUUAAAAUGGAAAUCUGGCUGCAUGACAAAUUGGGGACGGGUGACCAUUCUUGGCGCAUAAGGGGUGUAAUUCAGUAUUCGGGGUCAUUGUUGUGCGAAAACUGUUCAGGGGACUGUCCGCGUUGCUUUAAAAUGGAAAAAUGGCUGCAUGACAAAUUGGGAACGGGUGACCAUUCUUGGCGCAUAAGGGGUGUAAUUCAAUAUUCGGGGUCAUUGGUGUGCGUAAAAUGUUCAGGAAACUGUCCGUGUUGCUUUCGAAUGCAAGUCUGGUUUCAUGAGCAAUGUAAUCCGGAAAAAUGGGGGUCGGGUGACAAUCCUCAGCGUAAUAGGGGUGUUAUUCAGUAUUCGGGGUCAUCGCUUGGCGUGAACUAUUGAAAGGAAUGUCCGCGUUGAUUUAGAAUGCAAUUCUGGGUUCAUAAGCAAUGUAUUCCGAAAUAAAAAAAAUGAGGUUG